UGUGUGUGUGUGUGUGUGUGUGUGUGUGUGUGUGUGUGUGUGUGUGUGUGUGUGUGUGUAUGUGUGUUCUUGUUUAACUAUAUUCAUGGAGUACAAAAACUGGGAAUACGGUAUACUUGUGGUGUCCGGACAGCUUUGUGGGGCCAAAAUGCUGGACCCCACAUCAUCA